rnacentral:rRNA from 1 species
AUAUUUGAGAGUUUGAUCCUGGCUCAGGAUGAACGCUGGCGGCGUGCCUAACACAUGCAAGUCGAGCGAUCUCUUCGGAGAGAGCGGCGGACAGGUGAGUAACGCGUGGGUAACCUGCCCUGUACACACGGAUAACAUACCGAAAGGUAUACUAAUACGGGAUAAUAUACGAAAGUCGCAUGGCUUUUGUAUCAAAGCUCCGGCGGUACAGGAUGGACCCGCGUCUGAUUAGCUAGUUGGUAAGGUAAUGGCUUACCAAGGCAACGAUCAGUAGCCGACCUGAGAGGGUGAUCGGCCACACUGGAACUGGAGACACGGUCCAGACUCCUACGGGAGGCAGCAGUGGGGAAUAUUGCACAAUGGGCGAAAGCCUGAUGCAGCAACGCCGCGUGAGCGAUGAAGGCCUUCGGGUCGUAAAGCUCUGUCCUCAAGGAAGAUAAUGACGGUACUUGAGGAGGAAGCCCCGGCUAACUACGUGCCAGCAGCCGCGGUAAUACGUAGGGGGCUAGCGUUAUCCGGAAUUACUGGGCGUAAAGGGUGCGUAGGUGGUUUUUUAAGUCAGAAGUGAAAGGCUACGGCUCAACCGUAGUAAGCUUUUGAAACUAGAGAACUUGAGUGCAGGAGAGGAGAGUAGAAUUCCUAGUGUAGCGGUGAAAUGCGUAGAUAUUAGGAGGAAUACCAGUAGCGAAGGCGGCUCUCUGGACUGUAACUGACACUGAGGCACGAAAGCGUGGGGAGCAAACAGGAUUAGAUACCCUGGUAGUCCACGCCGUAAACGAUGAGUACUAGGUGUCGGGGUUACCCCCUCGGUGCCGCAGCUAACGCAUUAAGUACUCCGCCUGGGAAGUACGCUCGCAAGAGUGAAACUCAAAGGAAUUGACGGGGACCCGCACAAGUAGCGGAGCAUGUGGUUUAAUUCGAAGCAACGCGAAGAACCUUACCUAAGCUUGACAUCCCACUGACCUCUCCCUAAUCGGAGAUUUCCUCGGGGACAGUGGUGACAGGUGGUGCAUGGUUGUCGUCAGCUCGUGUCGUGAGAUGUUGGGUUAAGUCCCGCAACGAGCGCAACCCUUGCCUUUAGUUGCCAGCAUUAAGUUGGGCACUCUAGAGGGACUGCCGAGGAUAACUCGGAGGAAGGUGGGGAUGACGUCAAAUCAUCAUGCCCCUUAUGCUUAGGGCUACACACGUGCUACAAUGGGUGGUACAGAGGGUUGCCAAGCCGCGAGGUGGAGCUAAUCCCUUAAAGCCAUUCUCAGUUCGGAUUGUAGGCUGAAACUCGCCUACAUGAAGCUGGAGUUACUAGUAAUCGCAGAUCAGAAUGCUGCGGUGAAUGCGUUCCCGGGUCUUGUACACACCGCCCGUCACACCAUGGAAGUUGGGGGCGCCCGAAGCCGGUUAGCUAACCUUUUAGGAAGCGGCCGUCGAAGGUGAAACCAAUGACUGGGGGUGAAGUCGUAACAAGGUAGCCGUAUCGGAAGGUGCGGCUGGAUCACCUCCUUU